UACAUGAAACUCAAACGCAUCAUCAGAAAUGUUUGGCAUCAAUACCACUCAAGUGACUGAUAACAAACUCCCUUAAUGUCAAGAGCCAUUCCAUUUUUCUUUCAGGAAGAAUAAGGCCAUACCUAAACAUAUUAAAAUAUUAUUCACUUUGACAAUGGAACUAGUUCCAAGACAUGAACUAUUGCUAUAUUAGAAACAAGAAGCAAUCAGUAUUUUUCAUUGCCUAAGAAUCUCUAUACUACAAAAAAAUCCAUCACUUCUAAUGAAAUUGACACACAGAAAAUGAAGCCACAUGAACAUCUGAAAGAGAUUAAAAUGGAAUAAAAAGUC